CGACGGGGCUGUAAAGUUUCAAACACCUGCUCAAAUUGCUGCUGAAGCAUACUGGCAGCAUUGAAAAAGUUCCUGAUCAGGUUCCUAGAGGGAAGCUUGUCCAUACUUUCGCAUCCCUCUGGCAAACCAGCUUNNNNNNNGAGUUGAAGAAUGUGGAUCUUAAUACCAGAUUCAUUAGAACGUUCAAUUGUUGAGGUGAACUUGAGGGCAUUGAGAGGUGUAGUUACAACAGUUACAAUCAGGCCAUGAUUUGCCAAAAGUUUGGCCAUAUCUAUCAUGGGUAUAAGGUGGCCAGGAGACAUUAAAGGUAUCAAAACAAAGUGAAGUUGAUUGAGUUGUGAAGCCAUGGAAAUUGGGUAGAUUAAGGAAUAAUGAUCAGCUGUGAUCACUGAUCACUAUAAUUAAAAAAAGUCUG
rnacentral:misc_RNA from 1 species